rnacentral:rRNA from 1 species
AGAGGGUGCGAGCGUUAAUCGGAAUUACUGGGCGUAAAGGGCGCGUAGGUGGAAAGAGAAGUUGGAUGUGAAAUUCCCGGGCUUAACCUGGGGUGGUCAUUCAAAACUUUUUUUCUAGAGUACAGUAGAGGAUAGUGGAAUUUUCGGUGUAGCGGUGAAAUGCGUAGAUAUCGAAAGGAACAUCAAUGGCGAAGGCAGCUAUCUGGGCUGAUACUGACACUGAGGCGCGAAAGCGUGGGUAGCAAACAGGGAUUAGAUACCCUGGUAGUCCACGCCGUAAACGAUGAAAACCUAGCCCGUUGGGGAUCAUAGAUUUUUAGUGGCGUAGCUAACGCGAUAAGUUUUCCGCCUGGGGGAGUACGGCCGCAAGGUUA